rnacentral:ncRNA from 1 species
AGACUCAUCGAACCACCUAUUAGCUGUUUCCUUCCGAAGUUUUCCCUCAGGAUAGCUGUAAUGCAUUUAGUAAGGGGAGUAGAGAUAUGGGUAGAGGUGCAGGGAGCCUUCGGGUUCUCAACUUAUUUCCAAACUUCGAACCUCCUUGUUAGGCAUUUACCUAACUGGAAAUGCUUAAAUGAAUUAGCGUUACAAGUGGGCUCUGACCGGUAAGCGGUCAUGGCGAAAUGGGAUGAACCAUACGUCUGAAUAAGGUGCCGAAAUGUACUAUCACUGAUACCAUAAAGGGAGUCCAUGUAUUUAGACAGCAGGUCGGUGCCCCUAAAAGCAGGUAUCCGCUAAAGAGUGUGUUAAAACUCACCUGCCGAAUACUAGGGCCCCGAAAAUGAAUGGCGCAUAUAGUACUACCGAUCUCAGACAUCAGUUCUAUUGAACUGAGAGUAGGGGGAUGUGGACAUUUUUGUGAAGGUGCAAUGUGAGUUGGACUGGAAGAAUGUCUAUUACAGAUCCUAAUUGAAGUAGCGAUUAUCCAGGCUUGUAUCCUGGGGGCUGAUGAGGAGUAGGGUUUCUGGACAACUUAAACAGAUCCAGAGUUAGUCGAUCCUAAUCUCAAUAAUGGGAGAAAGGGAGUACAGUUGAUAUUCUGUAACUGACAACAGUUCGCGGCAACGCAUACUAUUUUUCUCCGCCAAUCUUAUACCGUUGGUAGGGAUCUCUUUCCUACAUGACAGUACUAAUACCCAGGGAAACUGGUCAUCAGGCGAACUGCGGCGUUCUGCUGGCAAAACAUAGCUUCGGUUAUGUCAAUGGCUAUUGGAUUGGUCCAUGAAGCGAAAAAUAGUUUACUGUGUCACUCGUACCGAUAACCGCAUCAGGUCUUCUAGGUAAGUAGCCUAUGGCCAUUGAGGCAUGAUAGUUCAGGGAAUUCGGCCAAUUAGAGCUGUAACUUCGGGAUAAAGCUUG